rnacentral:rRNA from 1 species
UACGUAGGGGGCGAGCGUUGUUCGGAUUCAUUGGGCGUAAAGGGUGCGUAGGCGGCGCGGUAAGUCGGGUGUGAAAUCUUGGAGCUUAACUCCGAAACUGCAUUCGAUACUGCCGUGCUUGAGGACUGGAGAGGAGACUGGAAUUUACGGUGUAGCGGUGAAAUGCGUAGAUAUCGUAAGGAAGACCAGUGGCGAAGGCGGGUCUCUGGACAGUUCCUGACGCUGAGGCACGAAGGCCAGGGGAGCAAACGGG